GCAUAUAAUGCAAAAUAUCUAGAACCACCUAUUUGGUUCUUUUAUUGUUUAAAUAUAAUUUACAUACAAUUUUUUACUUCUACUGCAUAAAUAAGAUUAUGACAGUGUGGCAGGCUUUAAAGAGUUGGUUGGCAUGAUACAUGAUAGUUUCUUCUAAGUGAAGUGAGUACUUCUCAUUUUAUACUUCCAGUUACUUUUAAAAUAACUGCUUGCUGGACAUUUAUCCAGUCUUUGAACAAUGAAAAGGAUUUGGAAGAAAAGAAUCUCUGGAAAAGUGCAUGUUACUGUCUGUGCUAUCCAUUUCUUAGAAGUGUUUUUCUCAAUGUCUUGCAAGACUGUUUUUCUUGAAUGCCUUAAGAAUUUUUCAGCACCAAAAGCAUACAGGAUUAAGAAUUCAAAUACUGUAUUAAUUAUGAAAAUCUAUUCAUACAUGCUGGGCUAAUCCUAUUCACUCCUCUCACAAGCACGUACCACUUGAAAAGGUGAAGAAUGAAUAACACGUUUACAGCAAAUGAAUACAAACUAGCUACAUGAGUAUAUUUUGGCUGCUUUCCAUUGGGCAAAUAUUUGCACAGUUAUUUGGCCUUUACAAAGCAAAAAUUCAGGAAGAGAAUUUUGGAAAUCCCUGCAAGGAGCAGGUACCCAGUGGUGAAGAGGAAUGAAUGCUCCAUUUAACUGUUUUGCCUGUUUGCAGGACAAGUUACUGUCAGAUGAACAGAAAAUGAACCUGUUGCUAUGGGAAGAUGUGAAAAAAGUAUCCUUCAAACCAUCUGCUCUACCUGGAACUGGAGAGAUAGAAAACAGAAAGAAAGAAACAGAAAAACAGAAAAUGCAGAACAGAAAAUAGAUACACUGUUGAGAGGUUACAAUCCUACCCCCUGCCUCUGGCAAAGGCAUCAUUAUUUCAGAGGAAAAAGUGUACUGUGCAAAUCGCAUUGAAAAACAUCAGUUUUGUGGUGGAAUCUGGAUCAGUCAGG
rnacentral:lncRNA from 1 species